rnacentral:rRNA from 1 species
GACGAACGCUGGCGGCGUGCUUAACACAUGCAAGUCGAACGGUGAAGCUCCAGCUUGCUGGAGUGGAUCAGUGGCGAACGGGUGAGUAACACGUGAGCAACCUGCCCCUGACUCUGGAAUAAGCGCUGGAAACGGCGUCUAAUACUGGAUACGAGAAGGGUCCGCAUGGGCACUUUCUGGAAAGUUUUUCGGUUGGGGAUGGGCUCGCGGCCUAUCAGCUUGUUGGUGAGGUAAUGGCUCACCAAAGCGACGACGGGUAGCCGGCCUGAGAGGGCGACCGGCCACACUGGGACUGAGACACGGCCCAGACUCCUACGGGAGGCAGCAGUGGGGAAUAUUGCACAAUGGGCGAAAGCCUGAUGCAGCGACGCCGCGUGAGGGAUGACGGCCUUCGGGUUGUAAACCUCUUUCAGCAGGGAAGAAGCGAAAGUGACGGUACCUGCAGAAGAAGCACCGGCUAACUACGUG